AAUUGCAAGCUACAACUUCAAGCCCCAACUUCACAAUAUGCUUCUGUAGCAGUCGGUCCGCCGGAGAGGCGGAUUGGUCUCGGCUGCGCCGGCUGGUGGUGAAAGCACACGCACCUGGGCUGCGUUAGCUAAUCAGUCUAGGUGCUUACGGGUGUGCUGCUCUCCACAGUUCGGGACCGAGACCGGGAGCUAACACCGAGAGCGCAGCUAUGAUUUUCGCUGUCGUGAUGGAAUGAGAUUACAUAAAACUACUCUCUGAAAGGCCAGAGGAAAAAAGAAGAAGAAAGUAAUUUCCGCUCUUGGCGUGUGAAGCAGGGUGUGCUGUUAGGGGAGCCCAUCCAUCACCAUCAGCGCGUCUGAAUCUUCCUCUUCCUCGCCCGCUCUCUAAACCCCCUCCCUCCCUCCCUCCCCCCGGUCACGCUCCAACGCCCUCAUUAAAUUCCAGUGCCGUUGACCUUACCUCAGUAACCCCCAGCCCUCCUCUCACGGACUCUGGGGUCACCAUGUAGAGCACCCCCGCGCCGACCACGGCUCCCAGGCACUGCGCGGCCAGGUAGAAGAGGGCCUUGGCCAGGCUGAGCUUCCGGGCGCACACCAUGGCGACGGUGACGGCGGGGUUGACGUGGGCGCCGCUGAUGUGCCCGAAGCACUGCACCAUGGUGGCAAUGGUCAGCCCGAAGCACAGGGAGAUGAGCACCAGGUCGGCGGGCGGCGGCUUCUUCCCCUCCUCCUCCGCUUCCUCGCCCGCCGCCGCCGCCGCCCAGCUCACGGUGGAGCCCAGGCUGAGCAGGACGAAGAUGAGCGUCGCCAGGAACUCGCCGGACGCCGCCCGCCAGAAGCCCUGCGUCCAGACGCCCUUGAAUGCCGCCAUCGCGCGGGAGCGGUUGCACGAGCACAGGCGCCGCCUGGACGGAGAGUCUCAAACUUGCCGAUGAAGUCGUAGGUGAUGAAACAGGGGAAGCAGAGCCUGUUGACCGUCUCCCAGUGGAUGUCCAUCCCCCCCGGUCGAUCCGGAUCCAGCAGGUACUGGACGAACUCUCGGAACGUGACCCCC